UACGGAGGGUGCGAGCGUUGUCCGGAAUCACUGGGCGUAAAGGGCGCGUAGGCGGCGCGAGCAGUCGAUCGUGAAAGUCCGGAGCUCAACUCCGGAUCGGCGGUCGAUACUCUCGUGCUUGAGCACUGUAGAGGCAGAUGGAAUUCCGGGUGUAGCGGUGGAAUGCGUAGAGAUCGGGAAGAACACCAGUGGCGAAGGCGGUCUGCUGGGCCGUUGCUGACGCUGAAGCGCGACAGCGUGGGGAGCAAACAGG
rnacentral:rRNA from 1 species